UGCCGCCAUUCGAGUGACUCCCUCGCAAAUGAUUCUGAAUGGCAGAUUCUACGCGUACGAGAAUACUUUGAUUAGUUGGUGGAAUGAGCACAUUUGUAAA